CUGAAUCGUAUAGAACAGCUGAAAAAAAAUAUGGAAUUCCGAAGUCCACUAUAGAAUUUAAAUUAAAACAUCCGGAACAUAAAGAUACACUUGGACCGUCUCCUAUUUUAACUUGCGAGGAGGAGAAUACUCUGGUUAGAUGGAUACAAGAAACCGCUUCAAAAGGUUUCCCCAAAAAGGCUAACGAUUUAAAAAGCAGUGUGCAAAAAUUUUUAACCGAAAAUCCUCGCCCCAAUAACUUUAAAGAUAAUCGACCUGGAGAUGGAUGGUUAAAAGGAUUUUUGAAGCGACAUCCAGAGGUUUCUAAAAGGACCAGUGAAGGUGUAACGGCAGCUAGCGCUUGUGUAUCUGAACGAGACAUCAAAAACUGGUUUAAAAAUAUUGAAACCUAUGUUAAAGAAAAACAUCUAGAAGAAGUUCUAAC
rnacentral:lncRNA from 1 species